rnacentral:lncRNA from 1 species
GAGUAAAAGCGAGAGAGAUAGAUAAAUCGUAUAGAGUAGUUAACUCGAUCAUAUACGAAGAACAGACUCUAACGGCUGGCUUGAUUUGCAAUGGUUCCUGUUGAUGUUGUUGCUGUUGUAGUGGUUUCUCUUUCUUUUUCUUCGCCGUCGUAUACAUCGUCAUCGCUGAAGGAUUACUCUAUUGGAUGAUAUGAAUUCUUUGGCAGGUAGGUAAAUGAAUUUGAUUAGGGAUAACUGUUUGACAGUCACUUAAGGUCUGUCGCACAUACAUCUCCGACACAUACGCCUGUCUUUCAAGCCUUUUGUCUCUUCCUCACCCCUCUUUCCUCCCAAUAAACUGUCAAUCUGCUAC